ensembl:lncRNA
CGCCUAAACAUGUGUUCUACUCCGCUAGCCAGCACCUCGCCUAAACAUGUGUUCUACUCCGCUAGCCAGCACCUCGCCUAAACAUGUGUUCUACUCCGCUAGCCAGCACCUCGCCUAAACACGUGUGCGUUUCUUUCUCCUCUUGAUCACUGCCUACCAUCAAUUCUCUCCAAGUGAAACUCUCUGUAACAUUAGCUGAAAAUCUCUCGGCCAAACUCUCCCCAAUCGAUGCUUACACCAAUUCAAUGCUUUUCAAUAAGAAGGGUAGAGAAUCGGGAUGCAGCCUAUGAAGGAAGGGAAUGGUGAUACCGGGGUCUCAUAGGAGAGUAGAAGGGUAGAGAAUCGGGAUGCAGCCUAUGAAGGAACGGAACGGUGAUACCGGGGUCUCAUAGGAGAGUAGAAGGGUAGAGAAUCGGGAUGCAGCCUAUGAAGGAACGGUGAUACCGGGGUCUCAUAGGAGAGUAGAAGGGUAUUUCAGAGAUCUUCAGAACUUAAGCUUCAGCAAAAGGAUACAUUUUAAAAACAAAAGCUUGACUUCAAACCACUGUUAGUAAUAUUGAAUACGAUAGUAUUUUAGCCCUUUAUCGUCCACGGGAACUUAACUAUCCCUCUUAAUGACACACAACAUGUAGCCUUCAUAUGUCUAGUUGAUGUGUACACUGGUUAACUUAACGAUAAGGGAAAUGUCUGCCUUACUAUUGGAGCUCCGUUCAUUGUCAGGAUCCUUGUUCAGAACAGCCUUGCUAUCUAUCUACUGUUCUUAUAUAGACUAUAUCCAUAUCUAUCAUGUUUUUAUGAACACGCUUAUAGUGAGUUAUGAUGCAGUCAUAAUGCAUUAUGAGCACAGUUAUAAACACAUAGAUAUGGGCUUCGUAGAAAGUUGAUAGAAAGUCCUACUAACUUGACAAUAGCACAGUUGGGAACAUUUAACAGGACAUCCACCUGGGAAAAUGGAAGCUAAUAUCACGUUAUACUGUUAGAGUCUGUACACAUAGUACUGGAUGUAGUUCUAAGGUAUAUUUUACAGGAGUGAACUGAAACGCAUGUAUUCAGGUUAACUGGAUCAGGUAUACAACCGUAGCACAUUUCAUCAUUGUGAAAUGCCCUGAAUAUGAAUUACAGUAAGAUGUUUAUUUGAUGCUAGUUUAAAGUACCAGUUGUGAUGUUAUGUUGAGGUAGUUAAAUGUUUCUUGACUAGUGCUGUACUGUCUGUAUUUCUCACGUUAUUUAGUCUGAAAGAAAUGGACUUACUGUGUCUAAUGUGUGGCUUAUUGUAUGUUAAAGGGACGGUUAAGAAGGGAACACGAACAAAGCAGGUCUGAAUCAUGGUUCACUGCCAGAAGAAAUGAUGCUGUAUAGAACCAUGAAAGGUUCAGUGACUCAUCUCAUAAAGCACCUUAUUUUUAGCAGUGUAUUAUCAUCAAUCAUAUGACCACAGCAGGUUUCUGAACACCUUAUGUGAACCACUCAGAAAUGGGAAAUGACCGGGUUGAACAUUUUGGACCAAAAAUGAUUGGUUCUGGAAAGUACAAAAGUUAUGUCCUGAACUUCAGAUUUAAGUGAGAGGACAAAGAAGAUCUGAAUUUAGAAGAAGUGAUGUUGUUGUUAGAAGACUUGCAGUGUGUGUACAGAUAUAGGAUCUUAAUUUGACCAGUAUUGUCACAGCAAAAUAAUCCUGCAGGAACAGGAUUUGAACAUUUAGUCCAUAAUGUUGCUUGAUUAGUGGUUAGGCUAUUAGCUGGCCAAAAGUAGGCUACAUGAAAAGUGCAAUACUGUUAAUAUAACUGUGUUAGUGCGGGUUUUCAGUGAAUGUAUGUAAAUCACAAAGCUCAUCUGCAACAAAGAGUGAUCAAAUUAAGAGCCUACAUCUGUAAAGCUUCAGGACUGCUCUGUGACAGACAAGAAAAGUCAGAUUAUUUGAUACUGCAAAUCACUAUUUAAAAACAUGAUUAUAAACUAGCUUUGAAUUAUUUUAGAAAGAGCUUAGUAUUUCUGGGGGAUGUUAAGAGGAGUGUUUACAAAUGUGUGUUUGUAAUUGAUGCAGAUGAUGAUUCUAAUAAAGGUACUCCGUGAGAGACCCAGAGGAACUUGACUAUAGAAAACACUGAUUGACAGCAGGCAGACAGGACUGCUUUACAGUACAAUGAUAGAAUGAACAUCACACAAUGAUAGAAUGAGAAUCACACAAUGAUAGAAUGAGUAUCGCACAAUGAUAGAAUGAGUAUCACAC